AGGUCGUUCCACCUCUUCUGCUUUCGAUCCUUAUUCUCUCCCUUUGCUCACCUGCUGCACGGAGAGGUCUCUGAGCGCCUGCACGGUGGUGGGGGUGGGGGGGUCCGGGUUCCUGGCCAGGGCCGAGUCAGGAGUCCCAGAUGAGGGAGAAACAAGGAGCCCUAGGGCAACAAGUUAAGAUCUUGAGUCCUGUGAGAACUGGCAGUGUUGGCUUGCCUUUGGGACGCAAGCCUGGGGAAGGGCGCUUGGCGAUUCAACAGGAGGGGAAGCCAUCCGGAGUCUCUGCACUGCUGGAGAUUGGCUGGACCUAGGCAAGUUCUGCAGGGACGUGCCGAUGUGCAUCCGAGCCCCUUAAACACGGCCCAGGGCGUCGGCCCAGAGGUAUCUUCCAGCUCUCCUGUUCUCUGAGCUCCAGCUACUCUGGCGGCCUCCCCGUGCCUGGAUCGUGCUACGUGUUCUGCACUUCAGGGACUCCGCACAUGCUGCUCCCUGCCUGGAACGCCUCUCCAGUCCCUCGUUAGCUCACUCCUACUCAUCCUUUGGAUCUCAGCCUGAAGCCCAUUUCCUCCCUGGAGCCUCCCCUGACACCCGAGAUGACCAGUGGUUUAGAGCAUGUGGUCAGCAUCUAUCUGGAUGGUGAUGGCGAAGGCCAGGCACCUGUCAAGUUUCUUCAAAUGGAGAUUCGGAUUCCCAAGGUGCAGUGGGGCCCGAGGUUCUGAACGUGUAAGGGGCUACGAGGGACCAGCCUUUGAGGCGCACAGACUUUGGAGAGUAGGAGGUCCCCGAGAAGCAAAGGUUGCUGCCGCAACCCGGUGUCGAAAGGCCGAGGCCUGUUCCUCUUCCAGCCACGCGUAAUCCAGGUGCCGUCACCAGGCAGCAGGAACACCUGGUUGUGGGGGUCACAAAUUUGCUCAGGAGCCUGCCUGUUCCUGACGAGGCUCCCCAC
rnacentral:lncRNA from 1 species